UACGGAGGGGGCUAGCGUUGUUCGGAAUUACUGGGCGUAAAGGGCGCGUAGGCGGCCUUCUAAGUCGAACGUGAAAUCCCCGGGCUCAACCCGGGAACUGCGUCCGAUACUGGAAGGCUUGAAUCCGGGAGAGGGAUGCGGAAUUCCAGGUGUAGCGGUGGAAUGCGUAGAUAUCUGGAGGAACACCGGUGGCGAAGGCGGCAUCCUGGACCGGUAUUGACGCUGAGGCGCGAAAGCCAGGGGAGCAAAGCGGG
rnacentral:rRNA from 1 species